AGAACGAACGCUGGCGGCAGGCUUAACACAUGCAAGUCGAGCGCUUGUAGCAAUACAGGAGCGGCGGACGGGUGCGUAACGCGUGGGAACAUGCCCUUUGGUUUGGAAUAACUCAGGGAAACUUGAGCUAAUACCGGAUAAGCCCAGAGAUGGGGAAAGAUUUAUCGCCGAAGGAUUGGCCCGCGUCCGAUUAGCUAGUUGGUGAGGUAACGGCUCACCAAGGCGACGAUCGGUAGCUGGUCUGAGAGGAUGAUCAGCCACACUGGGACUGAGACACGGCCCAGACUCCUACGGGAGGCAGCAGUGGGGAAUAUUGGACAAUGGGCGCAAGCCUGAUCCAGCCAUGCCGCGUGAGUGAUGAAGGCCUUAGGGUUGUAAAGCUCUUUCGCCAGGGACGAUAAUGACGGUACCUGGAGAGAAGCCCGGCAACUUCGCGCCAGCAGCCGC
rnacentral:rRNA from 1 species